rnacentral:rRNA from 1 species
GACGUAGGGCGCGAGCGUUGUCCGGAUUUAUUGGGCGUAAAGAGCUCGUAGGCGGCUUGUCGCGUCGGCUGUGAAAUCCCGUGGCUCAACUGCGGGCUUGCAGCCGAUACGGGCAGGCUAGAGUUCGGUAGGGGAGACUGGAAUUCCUGGUGUAGCGGUGAAAUGCGCAGAUAUCAGGAAGAACACCCGUGGCGAAAGCGGCUCUCUGGAACGGUACUGACGCUGAGACGCGAAAGCGUGGGGAGCGAACAGG